rnacentral:rRNA from 1 species
GAUGAACGCUAGCGGCAGGCCUAAUACAUGCAAGUCGAACGGUAACAUGAGUAGCAAUACUUGAUGACGAGUGGCGCACGGGUGCGUAACGCGUAUGCAAUCUACCUUUAACCGGUGAAUAGCCCGAAGAAAUUCGGAUUAAUACACCAUAGUAUGUUUGAGUGGCAUCACUUAAACAUUAAAGUUCCGACAGUUAAAGAUGAGCAUGCGUGACAUUAGCUAGUUGGUAAGGUAACGGCUUACCAAGGCAACGAUGUCUAGGGGAUCUGAGAGGAUUAACCCCCACACGGGUACUGAGACAGGGACCAGACACCUACGGGAGGCAGCCGUAAGGAAUAUUGGACAAUGGUGACAACACUGUUCCAGCCAUGCCGCGUGAAGGAUGAAGGCCCUAUGGGUUGUAACCUUCUUUUGUACGGGAAAAACCCUUCUUACGUGUAAGAAGCUGAUUGUACUGUAAGAAUAAGGAUCGGCUAACUCCGUGCCAGCCGCCGCCGUAA